AUACGAAGGGGGCUAGCGUUGUACGGAUUUACUGGGCGUAAAGCGCACGUAGGCGGAUUGAUUAGUUAGGGGUGAAAUCCCGAGGCUCAACCUCGGAACUGCCUUUAAUACUGUCAAUCUCGAGACCGGAAGAGGUGAGUGGAACUCCUAGUGUAGAGGUGGAAUUCGUAGAUAUUAGGAAGAACACCAGUGGCGAAGGCGGCUCACUGGUCCGGUACUGACGCUGAGGUGCGAAAGCGUGGGGAGCGAACAGGAUUAGAAACCCUAGUAGUCC
rnacentral:rRNA from 1 species